rnacentral:rRNA from 1 species
AUUGAACGCUGGCGGCAUGCCUUACACAUGCAAGUCGAACGGUAACAGGUUAAGCUGACGAGUGGCGAACGGGUGAGUAAUAUAUCGGAACGUGCCCAGUCGUGGGGGAUAACGUAGCGAAAGCUACGCUAAUACCGCAUACGAUCUACGGAUGAAAGCGGGGGAUCGCAAGACCUCGCGCGAUUGGAGCGGCCGAUAUCAGAUUAGGUUGUUGGUGAGGUAAAAGCUCACCAAGCCUGCGAUCUGUAGCUGGUCUGAGAGGACGACCAGCCACCCUGGAACUGAGACACGGUCCAGAAUCCUACGGGAGGCAGCAGUGGGGAAUUUUGGACAAUGGACGCAAGUCUGAUCCAGCAAUGCCGCGUGCAGGACGAAGGCCUUCGGGUUGUAAACUGCUUUUGUACGGAACGAAACGGUGAGCUCUGGUUAAUACCUGGGGUCGAUGACGGUACCGGAAGAAUAAGGACCGGCUAACUACGUGCCAGCCGCCGCGGUAA